CGGAUUGGAGGCUGAAACCCGCCUCCAUGAAGUUGGAUUCGCUAGUAAUCGCGCAUCAGCCAUGGCGCGGUGAAUACGUUCCCGGGCCUUGUACACACCGCCCGUCAAGCCAUGGGAGCUGGGGGUGCCUGAAGUUCGUGACCGCAAGGAUCGACCUAGGGCAAAACCGGUGACUGGGGCUAAGUCGUAACAAGGUAGC
rnacentral:rRNA from 1 species